GAUCAUGGCUCAGGAUGAACGCUGGCGGCAUGCCUAAGACAUACAAGUCGUACGAAGGGGCCCAAUGAAAAGAAUUGAAGUUUGGAGUGCUUGCACAAAGAAUGGAUUUUCUUGGAUUUGGAUUUUCCCCUUAGUGGCAAACGGGUGAGUAACACGUGGGUUACCUACCUCUAAGAUGGGGAUAACAGUUGGAAACGACUGAUAAUACCGAAUGUGCUCUACGGAGUAAAGAAGCCUUUAAAGCUUCGCUUAGAGAUGGG
rnacentral:rRNA from 1 species